GAUGAACGCUGGCGGCGUGCCUAAUACAUGCAAGUCGAGCGAACAGACGAGGAGCUUGCUCCUCUGACGUUAGCGGCGGACGGGUGAGUAACACGUGGAUAACCUACCUAUAAGACUGGGAUAACUUCGGGAAACCGGAGCUAAUACCGGAUAACAUGUUGAACCGCAUGGUUCAACAGUGAAAGACGGUCUUGCUGUCACUGAUAGAUGGAUCCGCGCCGCAUUAGCUAGUUGGUAAGGUAACGGCUUACCAAGGCAACGAUGCGUAGCCGACCUGAGAGGGUGAUCGGCCACACUGGAACUGAGACACGGUCCAGACUCCUACGGGAGGCAGCAGUAGGGAAUCUUCCGCAAUGGGCGAAAGCCUGACGGAGCAACGCCGCGUGAGUGAAGAAGGUCUUCGGAUCGUAAAACUCUGUUAUUAGGGAAGAACAAAUGUGUAAGUAACUAUGCACGUCUUGACGGUACCUAAUCAGAAAGCUACGGCUAACUACGUG
rnacentral:rRNA from 1 species